rnacentral:rRNA from 1 species
GUGCCAGCCGCCGCGGUAAUACGGAGGGUGCUAGCGUUGUUCGGAAUUACUGGGCGUAAAGCGCGUGUAGGCGGACUCGGAAGUCGGGUGUGAAAGCCCCGGGCUUAACUCGGGAAGUGCGCUCGAAACCACGAGUCUGGAGAACCGGAGGGGAUCGGGGAAUUCCCAGUGUAGAGGUGAAAUUCGUAGAUAUUGGGAGGAACACCGGUGGCGAAGGCGCCGAUCUGGACGGUUUCUGACGCUGAGACGCGAAAGCGUGGGUAGCAAACAGGAUUAGAAACCCGUGUAGUCC